GGAGGUGCUGAGAACCUGAGUUUCGGCAAGCAGCCAGGUCUGGAAACUGUGAGUGUGUGGGCUUUUCUCCGACGUCGAGCGUGGUCCUAGCGUAAACAGAUGCAUUCGCCUCUCCGGUUUCAAUCUUUUUUUUCGUUUGCGCUUUCCUCAAGGCCGGUGGGUCAGGAGUGGAGCCUUAGUCAUUCUAACGCUGGAGGUGUCAGUAGGACCAACAGAGUCUGGUGCCGACACGGCUUACUGUUGCGCGCUCUUCUAGGCCUCAACUUCCUCUCAACUGUGUGGUCAGUUCAGGGCCGGGAAUCCAAUCUUUUCCGAGCUCCAUAUUUUAUCCACUUGGUGGCGUCCAGUCCCAAGUCCGGCAGUUGAAUUCUGCCCUAAAGAUGGGCUUUAUUUCUAUCUUUUUUUAGGUAACAGGACAUUCAGUUAGUAAUGAUGGUUGCAGGUUGAAUAGUCUCGCCCUAGAUCUCACCUAACUUGCAGAAUAUUUUAAAAAUGACUACACCAAACAAGACACCUCCUGGUGCUGACCCCAAGCAGUUGGAAAGGACUGGAACAGUACGGGAAAUUGGGUCACAAGCUGUUUGGUCACUCUCAUCUUGCAAACCAGGAUUUGGAGUGGAUCAGUUACGAGAUGACAAUCUAGAAACUUAUUGGCAAUCAGAUGGUUCCCAGCCUCAUUUAGUGAACAUCCAAUUCAGGUAAUUAAUACAUUUUCAAAUUUUUCAUCUACUGUAGGUUAUAGACAAAUAAAUCUAUUUUAUUAACAUAAAAAUUAAAGAUAGAAAUUACAAUGAAAUACACUUAACUUUUUAAAC
rnacentral:sRNA from 1 species